rnacentral:lncRNA from 1 species
UCCGAGUGCAUGCUUCUUUUUUUAGAGAUGUCAACGGGUCGGAUUCGGGGCGGAUUUUUAAAAAUCCGAAUCCGAACCCGACUCCAAACCUGAGAUUCGAACCCGACGGAUUUUAAAAAUUCAUAUCCAAACCCGAAUCCGACCAAAAAUUCGAAACCCGAAUCCGAACCCGAACCCGAAAAUUUGAACCCGAAACAAUUAUUUUUUUUUUCAAUAUUUCAAAAUAUAUUAUAUUAAACCUAAAUUUUUAAAAUACAAAUUCAAAUAUAACAUCAAAUUUUUAUAUAUAUAUAUUAUAUAUAAUACAAAAUAAAUUCGGGUUCGGGUCGGGUACAAUCAAAAUCCAUAUUCGAAUCCAUAUCCGUCGGGUUUUUAUUUUUGAUAUUCAUAUCCGAAUCCAUAUCCAUAUCCAUCGAAUAUAUCUGUUUCAUUCGAGUUCGGGUUCGGAUAAAAUUUCGGGUAUUCAUACCCAUUGACAUCCCUACUCAUUUUAUUGAAGGGAUAAUAUAUAAAAUAACUUUCAAAAUAUUUAAAAUAUUUUAUAUACUUUUUUUUUUUUUCAAAUUAUAGUUCUUGUAUAUUUUUUUGUUAUUUUAAAAUAAUUUUUCUACUAGUAUUUUUUUUAAAUCGUCUCGAGUUAAAUUUCUAUCAGAGUUAAAAUAUCUCUUUUGUCUCUAAUUUAAGGACAAAUAAAAAAAGUUGGUGACGGUGGAAGUGUAUAUUUAAAAAAAUUUAAAAAAUCAAAAUAAUUAUUUUGCUCCUAAUUUAAGUACAAAUAAAAAAAUUUGGUAAUCACAGAAAGAUAUAUUUUAAAAGGUAAAAUAGUAAUUUUAUAGAGAUAACUAAUAUUCCUACUAGUUUAUUAAUAGAAUUUAACUCCAGAAGUAUAGUUGAAAUAAUUUAAAAUAUUAAAAAAAUAUUUUUAAUAUUAAUUUUCUAAGAGGGAUAAAUAAAAAAAUGGGUAACUUUUUAGAAAUAUAUAAGCAAAAGCAAUUGU